CGGGGCGUGGCGCAGCUUGGUAGCGCGAAUGUUUUGGGAACAUUAGGUCGCAGGUUCGAAUCCUGUCGCCCCGACCU
rnacentral:tRNA from 1 species